UGUAUGGUAGCAUAGUGGUUUGAGUGUUGGACUGUGACUCUGGAGAACCAGGGUUCGAAUCCCAGCUCUGCCA